rnacentral:rRNA from 1 species
UAGCGUGGAGGAGUGCCUGACACAUGCAGUCGGGUGUGCCGAAAGGUGCAUGGCAGACGGGUGAGUAACGCGUGGGGAACCUACCUCUUUGUGGGGAAUAACGUUCCGAAAGGAAUGGUAAUACCGCAUAAGACCAAUGGCUGGGAUGCUGUUGGUGAAAGCUGGGGAUCGAAAGACCUAGCGCGAGGAGAGGGUCCUGCGUCUGAUUAGCUAGUUGGCGGGGUAACGGCCCACCAAGGCAUCGAUCAGUAGCCGGCCUGAGAGGGUGAUCGGCCACACUGGAACUGAGACACGGUCCAGACUCCUACGGGAGGCAGCAGUGGGGAAUUUUGCGCAAUGGGCGAAAGCCUGACGCAGCAACGCCGCGUGGGUGAUGAAGGUCUUCGGAUCGUAAAACCCUGUCGUCGGAGACGAAGGUAGCUUGGUUAAUAGCUGAGUUGCUUGACGGUACCCGGAGAGGAAGCCCCGGCUAACUCUGUGCCAGCAGCCGCGGUAAUACAGAGGGGGCAAGCGUUAUCCGGAAUUAUUGGGCGUAAAGGGCGCGUAGGCGGUUUUUUAAGUCAGAUGUGUAAUCCCCGAGCUCAACUUGGAAACUGCAUCUGAGACUGGGAGGCUAGAGUACUGGAGAGGGUGGUAGAAUUCCACGUGUAGCGGUGAAAUGCGUAGAGAUGUGGAGGAAUACCAGUGGCGAAGGCAGCCACCUGGACAGUAACUGACGCUGAGGCGCGAAAGUGUGGGUAGCAAACAGGAUUAGAUACCCUGGUAGUCCACGCUGUAAACGAUGAACACUUGGUGUGGAGGGGGUUGACCCUUCCGUGCCGGAGCUAACGCGUUAAGUGUUCCGCCUGGGCAGUACGGUCGCAAGUCUG